rnacentral:tRNA from 3 species
GGGCCUGUAGCUCAGUCGGUUAGAGCAGGGGACUCAUAAUCCCUUGGUCCUCGGUUCGAGUCCGAGCGGGCCCACCA